rnacentral:tRNA from 1 species
GCCCAGGUGGCGGAACUGGUAGACGCGCAUGGUUGAGGGCCAUGUCUCCUUUAGGAGGUGCAAGUUCGAUUCUUGUUCUGGGCACAA